AGACAUCUGUUCCUUUGAUAUGAUAUUCCAUGUCAUAUUAGAUUUCAGAAUGUCUUAGAAUAACUGAAUUGCUUCACCCAGAAUUGUAUUAAUUUUUUACACUGUCUGGCUUUUGCGGGUUCAUACAGUU